UACUUGAUACUGUCUGGUAGCCUGG
rnacentral:piRNA from 1 species